GACGAACGCUGGCGGCGUGCUUAACACAUGCAAGUCGAACGGAAAGGCCCUGCUUUUGUGGGGUUCUCGAGUGGCGAACGGGUGAGUAACACGUGAGUAACCUGCCCUUGACUUUGGGAUAACUUCAGGAAACUGGGGCUAAUACCGGAUAGGAGCUCCUGCUGCAUGGUGGGGGUUGGAAAGUUUCGGCGGUUGGGGAUGGACUCGCGGCUUAUCAGCUUGUUGGUGGGGUAGUGGCUUACCAAGGCUUUGACGGGUCGCCGGCCUGAGAGGGUGACCGGCCACAUUGGGACUGAGAUACGGCCCAGACGCCUACGGGAGGCAGCAGUGGGGAAUAUUGCACAAUGGGCGGAAGCCUGAUGCAGCAACGCCGCGGGCGGGAUGACGGCCUUCGGGUUGUAAACCGCUUUCGCCUGUGACGAAGCGUGAGUGACGGUAAUGGGUAAAGAAGCACCGGCUAACUACGUG
rnacentral:rRNA from 1 species